rnacentral:lncRNA from 1 species
AAUGGGACAAUCUACAGUGAAUGAUUUAUGAUUACGACUUCGCUCUGAUUGAGUCCGCCUGGGAGAGUCAAUUACAUGACUUAGAAAAUUUUCUCAAGUUCGAUUAAUUUGGCUACAACCUAUUCAGUUCGUCACUUCAUACUGAUUAUUUUAUUUUAUUAUCGAUCAUAAGAUUUAAAAGAUUCUAUCAAAUCUAUCAGUUCAGUUGUGAUUUAGUCGGUCUGUUACUUCCAACUGAGUGCAUUGCAUUAUUACUGACUUCAUUACUUAGUCAAUUUUAUGA